AAUACACCUGCACUCAGAAUAAUAGCAGACAACGGGUGUAUAUAUAAUGUCUGCUUAUAUGGGUGCAUCAUUAGUGCUAGUAACAUGGAAAAAAAAAAAGCACCCGGUAUUCAUUGUAAGGUGGCUGGCAUUAGGAAGAGCAACCUAACGUAGAAACCAUCCUAAAGUUGACGCAUGAGUUUGGAACAGCACUGUAGCUUGCCAGACCCUUUUCAAACUGUCCAGCCCUUACCAGCAUUGAAAAUAGAUAUUAAAUGAUGAUGACGAUGAUAAACACCCAGGAUUUUGAAUGGAGGCAGUUAGGUGAAUAGACUGACUCUAGCUCUUGACAGGCACUGGUGGUCACAGUAUUUACUUUGCAGUUAGAUGGUCCCGGAUCUGAUCCUGUUAGUCUGCACCUUGGAGGUCUUCAGAAGUGCAAGACGACCAGUCACAAUGUCAAAACGAAUUCUAUCCUUUCAAUGGAAGAGCAUAGACUUGAGAUGUUAAAAACUGCUUCCAUUUUACUUGAGCGUCGACCUAAUACACACCGUCUACUGUCCUUUCAUCCCAUCUUUGUGUUUAAUUCAUUUUGAGACCAGUGAAGAUAUAACCUUACACAGUAAUAAGUAACAGGAGGAAGGUUAGCAACAGA